rnacentral:rRNA from 1 species
AGAGUUUGAUCUGGCUCAGAUUGAACGCUGGCGGCAUGCCUUACACAUGCAAGUCGAACGGCAGCACGGGGGCAACCCUGGUGGCGAGUGGCGAACGGGUGAGUAAUACAUCGGAACGUGUCCUGUAGUGGGGGAUAGCCCGGCGAAAGCCGGAUUAAUACCGCAUACGCUCUACGGAGGAAAGGGGGGGAUCUUAGGACCUCCCGCUACAGGGGCGGCCGAUGGCAGAUUAGCUAGUUGGUGGGGUAAAGGCCUACCAAGGCGACGAUCUGUAGCUGGUCUGAGAGGACGACCAGCCACACUGGGACUGAGACACGGCCCAGACUCCUACGGGAGGCAGCAGUGGGGAAUUUUGGACAAUGGGGGAAACCCUGAUCCAGCAAUGCCGCGUGUGUGAAGAAGGCCUUCGGGUUGUAAAGCACUUUUGUCCGGAAAGAAAUCCUUCGAGUUAAUACCUUGGGGGGAUGACGGUACCGGAAGAAUAAGCACCGGCUAACUACGUGCCAGCAGCCGCGGUAAUACGUAGGGUGCAAGCGUUAAUCGGAAUUACUGGGCGUAAAGCGUGCGCAGGCGGUUCGCUAAGACAGAUGUGAAAUCCCCGGGCUUAACCUGGGAACUGCAUUUGUGACUGGCGGGCUAGAGUAUGGCAGAGGGGGGUAGAAUUCCACGUAGCAGUGAAAUGCGUAGAGAUGUGGAGGAAUACCGAUGGCGAAGGCAGCCCCCUGGGCCAAUACUGACGCUCAUGCACGAAAGCGUGGGGAGCAAACAGGAUUAGAUACCCUAGUAGUCC